rnacentral:rRNA from 1 species
UCUUAACUGGGCGUUAAGUUGCAGGGUAUAGACCCGAAACCCGGUGAUCUAGCCAUGGGCAGGUUGAAGGUUGGGUAACACUAACUGGAGGACCGAACCGACUAAUGUUGAAAAAUUAGCGGAUGACUUGUGGCUGGGGGUGAAAGGCCAAUCAAACCGGGAGAUAGCUGGUUCUCCCCGAAAGCUAUUUAGGUAGCGCCUCGUGAAUUCAUCUCCGGGGGUAGAGCACUGUUUCGGCAAGGGGGUCAUCCCGACUUACCAACCCGAUGCAAACUGCGAAUACCGGAGAAUGUUAUCACGGGAGACACACGGCGGGUGCUAACGUCCGUCGUGAAGAGGGAAACAACCCAGACCGCCAGCUAAGGUCCCAAAGUCAUGGUUAAGUGGGAAACGAUGUGGGAAGGCCCAGACAGCCAGGAUGUUGGCUUAGAAGCAGCCAUCAUUUAAAGAAAGCGUAAUAGCUCACUGGUCGAGUCGGCCUGCGCGGAAGAUGUAACGGGGCUAAACCAUGCACCGAAGCUGCGGCAGCGACGCUGAUGCGUUGUUGGGUAGGGGAGCGUUCUGUAAGCCUGCGAAGGUGUGCUGUGAGGCAUGCUGGAGGUAUCAGAAGUGCGAAUGCUGACAUAAGUAACGAUAAAGCGGGUGAAAAGCCCGCUCGCCGGAAGACCAAGGGUUCCUGUCCAACGUUAAUCGGGGCAGGGUGAGUCGACCCCUAAGGCGAGGCCGAAAGGCGUAGUCGAUGGGAAACAGGUUAAUAUUCCUGUACUUGGUGUUACUGCGAAGGGGGGACGGAGAAGGCUAUGUUGGCCGGGCGACGGUUGUCCCGGUUUAAGCGUGUAGGCUGGUUUUCCAGGCAAAUCCGGAAAAUCAAGGCUGAGGCGUGAUGACGAGGCACUACGGUGCUGAAGCAACAAAUGCCCUGCUUCCAGGAAAAGCCUCUAAGCAUCAGGUAACAUCAAAUCGUACCCCAAACCGACACAGGUGGUCAGGUAGAGAAUACCAAGGCGCUUGAGAGAACUCGGGUGAAGGAACUAGGCAAAAUGGUGCCGUAACUUCGGGAGAAGGCACGCUGAUAUGUAGGUGAAGCGACUUGCUCGUGGAGCUGAAAUCAGUCGAAGAUACCAGCUGGCUGCAACUGUUUAUUAAAAACACAGCACUGUGCAAACACGAAAGUGGACGUAUACGGUGUGACGCCUGCCCGGUGCCGGAAGGUUAAUUGAUGGGGUCAGCGCAAGCGAAGCUCUUGAUCGAAGCCCCGGUAAACGGCGGCCGUAACUAUAACGGUCCUAAGGUAGCGAAAUUCCUUGUCGGGUAAGUUCCGACCUGCACGAAUGGCGUAAUGAUGGCCAGGCUGUCUCCACCCGAGACUCAGUGAAAUUGAACUCGCUGUGAAGAUGCAGUGUACCCGCGGCAAGACGGAAAGACCCCGUGAACCUUUACUAUAGCUUGACACUGAACAUUGAGCCUUGAUGUGUAGGAUAGGUGGGAGGCUUUGAAGUGUGGACGCCAGUCUGCAUGGAGCCGACCUUGAAAUACCACCCUUUAAUGUUUGAUGUUCUAACGUGGACCCGUGAUCCGGGUUGCGGACAGUGUCUGGUGGGUAGUUUGACUGGGGCGGUCUCCUCCUAAAGAGUAACGGAGGAGCACGAAGGUUGGCUAAUCCUGGUCGGACAUCAGGAGGUUAGUGCAAUGGCAUAAGCCAGCUUGACUGCGAGCGUGACGGCGCGAGCAGGUGCGAAAGCAGGUCAUAGUGAUCCGGUGGUUCUGAAUGGAAGGGCCAUCGCUCAACGGAUAAAAGGUACUCCGGGGAUAACAGGCUGAUACCGCCCAAGAGUUCAUAUCGACGGCGGUGUUUGGCACCUCGAUGUCGGCUCAUCACAUCCUGGGGCUGAAGUAGGUCCCAAGGGUAUGGCUGUUCGCCAUUUAAAGUGGUACGCGAGCUGGGUUUAGAACGUCGUGAGACAGUUCGGUCCCUAUCUGCCGUGGGCGCUGGAGAACUGAGGGGGGCUGCUCCUAGUACGAGAGGACCGGAGUGGACGCAUCACUGGUGUUCGGGUUGUCAUGCCAAUGGCACUGCCCGGUAGCUAAAUGCGGAAGAGAUAAGUGCUGAAAGCAUCUAAGCACGAAACUUGCCCCGAGAUGAGUUCUCCCUGACUCCUUGAGAGUCCUGAAGGAACGUUGAAGACGACGACGUUGAUAGGCCGGGUGUGUAAG